GAUGAACGCUGGCGGCGUGCCUAAUACAUGCAAGUCGAGCGAACAGACGAGGAGCUUGCUCCUCUGACGUUAGCGGCGGACGGGUGAGUAACACGUGGAUAACCUACCUAUAAGACUGUGAUAACUUCGGGAAACCGGAGCUAAUACCGGAUAAUAUAUUGAACCGCAUGGUUCAAUAUUGAAAGACGGUUUUGCUGUCACUUAUAGAUGGAUCCGCGCCGCAUUAGCUAGUUGGUAAGGUAACGGCUUACCAAGGCAACGAUGCGUAGCCGACCUGAGAGGGUGAUCGGCCACACUGGAACUGAGACACGGUCCAGACUCCUACGGGAGGCAGCAGUAGGGAAUCUUCCGAAAUGGGCGAAAGCCUGACGGAGCAACGCCGCGUGAGUGAUGAAGGUCUUCGGAUCGUAAAACUCUGUUAUUAGGGAAGAACAAAUGUGUAAGUAACUAUGCACGUCUUGACGGUACCUAAUCAGAAAGCCACGGCUAACUACGUG
rnacentral:rRNA from 1 species